UCCUUAGCAGAGCUUUCACCAAAGAGAAGG
rnacentral:piRNA from 1 species